UACGUAGGGUGCAAGCGUUAAUCGGAAUUACUGGGCGUAAAGCGUGCGCAGGCGGUUGUGCAAGACAGGUGUGAAAUCCCCGGGCUUAACCUGGGAACUGCACUUGCGACUGCACAGCUAGAGUACGGCAGAGGGGGAUGGAAUUCCGCGUGUAGCAGUGAAAUGCGUAGAUAUGCGGAGGAACACCGAUGGCGAAGGCAGUCCCCUGGGCCUGUACUGACGCUCAUGCACGAAAGCGUGGGGAGCAAACAGG
rnacentral:rRNA from 1 species